AGCAGCCGCGGUAAUUCCAGCUCCAAUAGCGUAUAUUAAAGUUAGUUGCAGUUAAAAAGCUCGUAGUUGAAUUUCGGGACUAAUAUGUCGGUCGUACUUUGUACGUACUAGCAUUAUUGGUUUCUCCCUUCUGACGAACCACGAUGUCAUUAAUUUGGUGUCAUGGGAAAUCAGGACUGUUACUUUGAAAAAUUGAAGUGUUUAAAGCAAGCUCGCGCUUUGAAUACAUUAGCAUGGGAAUAAUGAAAUAGGACGUUUGAUUCUAUUUUGUUGGUUUCUUAGGAUCGACGUAAUGAUUAAUAGGGAUAGUUGGGGGCAUUAGUAUUCAAUUGUCAGAGGUGAAAUUC
rnacentral:rRNA from 1 species